UUAUCCUCCUUCCUCCUUCACGCCCCAAACUUCUUCUCUCUCAACUCUCUAAUUCUCCCUAUCUCGACAGAAAUUGAAGAAGUUCCCCCAAAAUUCUCCGUCGUCGUCUCCAUCUCUAAUAUUACUGCGCAACCAUGGCAGCAAUCGCCGAUGAUUCCACAGCCGGGAGAUGGAAGGCACGGUUCCACCAGCCAUGGCUGCUCCGCCUGAACAGCCGCUGCUGCUGCUCGUCGUUGGGAUCCGCCGCCGUCGUUGCUGGGAGACGCGACGCCGCUGCUGUCUCGCCGGGAAGACGUUGGUGUCGCCGCUGCACAGAGCCGGGCUGCUGCCACCGUCGCCACUGAUUUCUGCUGCCGUCGGUCGUCGGCUUCUCCGCCGAUUCGUCAGCGGUCCCCGUCGGUCAGCUCCGAUUCGCCCGAACACCCCAAGAUCACGGAGGAGGAAUAUCUCAUCAGGGAGGAGGAAAAUCUCUAAGAAAUCUUUAAUUAAAUUGAAUUAUCGACUUGGUAACCAAGUCAACAGGAAGAGGAUUUGAUUUGUUUAAUUCACGGUUCUUUGUAUUUUAAUUAAAUUAUGCAGCCCACAUUUUAUUUAUCA